CAGUGGUGAAGCAAGAGCUAGAGGUGAAGGAGUGAGAGUAAGAGGAAUACGAGGAAGGACAGUUGUCUCAGAUGACAUCAGGGCCACAUUGGUUGAACAUGUGCUAAACCAUGGAUUGAGUAUGAGGCAGGCUGGGCAGAGAGUACAACACAACCUGAGCCGCUACACUGUUGCGUCUAUCAUCCGUACAUUCAGAAAUGACAACCGAACUGAGAGACCUCCAGGCCAUGGUGGAAGACACCGCCUGUUCACACCAGAACAGGAACCGCUCUUGUUAACAAGGUGGUGGCAAAAAAAUACCAUUAGACGACUAGAAAUCCAGAACCACAUAAUUGCAGACAGCACAAUAUUACAUAGCAUUCACCAGGUGGACUUGUCUACAUUGGACCCUGUAUUACAGCGCCACCGAAUCCGGAUGAAACAGGUCUACAAGGUGCCAUUUGAGCGCAACUCAGAGAGGGUUGAAUAGCAGCGCUUUGAAAAUGUGCAAAGAGUCUUGGAGCUGGAUGCUGCUUCAAUUCAGCACGUUUAUAUUUACGUUGAUGAGGCUGGCUUCAACCUAGCCAAAAGAAGGGGACGGGACGGAACAUUAUUGGCCACGGUGCCAUUGUGAAUGUCCCUGGACAGCGUGGAGGGAAUAUCACCAUGUGCGUAGCCUGUAGCCCGCAAGGCGUCCUCGAUCACCAUACCAACCUUGGUCCCUACAACACUGCCCUUCUCAUCUCAUUCCUGGACACACUACAUGGAAUCCUCAUUCCAGCAGAGCAGAGGGGUGGACCA